AUAGCUAUUCCUCAGGUUUACAGGUGUCAUUUUUCUUCCUUGAUGAGUCGGUUUGAGGUGAUCAAUUUGAAAACACUUGAAUUUACAACAUUGCAAAACUGCAGCGUGAUGCAGUUCCAACACGACAUAUUGCUAGAGCCAAGUAUUACAUUUACUAAUAAUAGCUUGUUGAAAGAAGAAAUGCCGCAACGCCUGGCCUCUAGGCUUAGCUUUGUCAUACGCAAAGCCGUGUCGAAAAGAACCAGUCAGAUCAUUGUCGCAGUUCCGAACGCUGUACUUUGCCCUCAUGCCCUGUAUUUGAAAAUGAUAAUUAAGUGGUUCCAGCUGCCACACACCUAAAUGAUUGGGAGAUUAAUGACAAGAUAUAUAAUGAACAGAAUAACAAUGACAAUAAUUGUUAUACAACAAUGCGUUAUUAUUGACUAAGCCAACAGGAAGCUUCAGUUGCUUCUUAAUUCCUCACUGUGGAGAUAUUUAUUUGAUUGCCAGUAUCCUAAUGCUCCAUGCUCUGCAGCUGGACUGCCUUUUUGCCUGAUUUACAAGCACCAACACACUUUUAGAGAUACCAUACUGGAGACUUCCUGCAAAAGAAUGUUAUACGGAGGGUAAUGUGGCGGAAGGAACUGCAGAUGCUGGUUUACACCGAAGAUACACACAAUAUGCUGCAGUAACUCAGCGAGACAGGCAGCAUCUGUGGAGAGACGGAAUGGGUGAUGUUUUUGGUCGAGACCUGUCGUCGUACUGAGGGUCAGGGGAGAAGGUGACCAGAGAGUUGGAGUGAUAUUCCAUAUCUCUAGUCUCCCUCGCUUCCAGAAGAUGUGUCCGUUGGCUAGCUCCAAUCAUCAUCUCCCCUCAAAGACUGAUACAUCAGCAUGCACUUUAGACAUAGCAAUGAACACAUAAAUAUAAGGA